rnacentral:rRNA from 1 species
AUUGAACGCUGGCGGGAUGCUUUACACAUGCAAGUCGAACGCGUGGCGGACGGGUGAGUAAUAUAUCGGAACGUUCCCAGUAGCGGGGGAUAACUACUCGAAAAAGUGGCUAUUACCGCAUACUCUUGGAGCGGUCGAUAUCGGAUUAGCUAGUUGGUGGGGUAAAGGCGCACCAAGACAACGAUCCGUAGCUGGUUUGAGAGGAUGACCAGCCACACUGGGACUGAGACACGGCCCAGACUCCUACGGGAGGCAGCAGUGGGGAAUUUUGGACAAUGGGGGAAACCCUGAUGCAGCCAUGCCGCGUGUAUGAGAAGGCCUUCGGGUUGUAAAGUACUUUUGGCAGGGAAGCGGUAUCUGCAGAAUAAGCACCGGCUAACUACGUGCCAGCAGCCGCGGUAAUUC